AUAUCANUAAGCGGAGGAAAAGAAACCAACCGGGAUUGCCUUAGUAACGGCGAGUGAAGCGGCAACAGCUCAAAUUUGAAAUCUGGCCCCUCCGGGGUCCGAGUUGUAAUUUGUAGAGGAUGCUUCGGGCAACGCUGCGGUCCAAGUCCCUUGGAACAGGGCGUCACAGAGGGUGAGAAUCCCGUCCUCAACCGUGAGCCGCGUCCAUGUGAAGCUCCUUCGACGAGUCGGGUUGUUUGGGAAUGCAGCUCAAAAUGGGUGGUAAAUUUCAUCUAAAGCUAAAUAUUGGCCAGAGACCGAUAGCGCACAAGUAGAGUGAUCGAAAGAUGAAAAGCACUUUGAAAAGAGAGUUAAACAGCAUGUGAAAUUGUUGAAAGGGAAGCGCUUGCAGCCAGACUUGUGGGCGGUGAUUCAGCCGUUCUUCCGAUCGGUGCACUUUGCCGUCUCCAGGCCAGCAUCGGUUUGGGCAGCCAGUUAAAGGCCGCGGGAAUGUAUCGACCCUCCGGGGUCGACUUAUAGCCCGGGGUGCCAUGUGGCUCGUCGAGACCGAGGUACGCGCUCUGCACGGAUGCUGGCGUAAUGGCUGUAAGCGACCCGUCUUGAAACACGGACCAAGGAGUCUAACAUCUAUGCGAGUGUUCGGGUGUCAAACCCUUGCGCGUAAUGAAAGUGAACGGAGGUAGGAACCCCUUUCGGGGCGCACUAUCGACCGAUCCUGAUGUUCUCGGAUGGAUUUGAGUAAGAGCAUAGCUGUUGGGACCCGAAAGAUGGUGAACUAUGCGUGUAUAGGGUGAAGCCAGAGGAAACUCUGGUGGAGGCUCGCAGCGGUUCUGACGUGCAAAUCGAUCGUCAAAUACGCGUAUAGGGGCGAAAGACUAAUCGAACCAUUGUCGCGACCAGGUGGUUCCG
rnacentral:rRNA from 1 species